UGGUCGUCUUUUGAAUGGCUACAAUUCCUUCCGAAACCAAGAACUCAUGUUUUUCUGACCAAUCUAGACAGACAUCUUCAUGGCCUCUGAAAUAUAUUAGCCAGACCCCUCCCACUCCACUGCUCCAGCUCUGCAUGCAGUCUACCUAACUUGCAGCAUCCAUUAGGGCGUUCAUAAAGAUAGUAUUAGAGGAGAAGAGAUCAUGGAGCUCUUAUCUAUGCCAACUGCUCGGUUGCCCAUUGGUAGGCGGCAUGUUGGUGGUCGCGCUUGUUCGAUUAUUUGUACAGGGAUAGCAGAGCCAUCAGGAGUUCCAGCACCAAUGGGACAAAAGACGGAAUACAGGGAUGGACUGUUUGAGAAGGCCUUCAUGUCAUUGUUUGCUCGUAAGAUGGAGAAGUUUGCAGAGGGUGGCGGCGAGGGGAAGAGCAAGAGGAGCAUGUGGGGGUGGGACUAUGAGAGCUUUGUGGAUGUUUCGAAGAGGGUGAUGAUAAGGAGGUCAAGGAAGCAGCAGCAGGAGGUCGUUAGGGAGGUGCUCCUCUCCAUGCUGCCCCCUGGUGCUCCAGCUCAGUUUCGAAAAUUGUUUCCACCAACCAAAUGGGCAGCUGAGUUUAAUGCAGCGUUAACAGUGCCUUUCUUCCACUGGUUAGUUGGGCCAUCUGAGGUUAUAGAAGUGGAAGUUAAUGGGGUGAAACAGAGAAGUGGUGUGCAUAUAAAGAAGUGCAGGUACUUGGAGAACAGUGGAUGUGUUGGAAUGUGUGUUAAUAUGUGCAAGAUUCCAACCCAAGAUUUCUUUACCAAUGAAUUUGGACUUCCCUUAACCAUGAACCCAAAUUUUGAGGAUAUGAGCUGCGACAUGGUGUAUGGUCAAGUACCUCCUCCUUUUGAAGAGGAUCCUGUUUCAAAGCAGCCUUGCUAUGCUGACAUGUGUUCUAUGGCCAAUCUCAGCUCCAAAGUUUGUCCGAAACUUCAAAAUUGAAAAACAUCAGCUGGUAAUUGGUCCUGCAUCAUUCAGUUUCUCGGAAAAGCUCCCAUCUGGUGGGAAUUGUUAGCUCCUGAGUCUAUUGCAGCAUAAAUGAGUACAGAAGUUUUGGGAGGUGAACAGAAUCAAUGGAACACUCAGUAGAUGAUACUAAUGUCAGGUCUAUGAACAAGUUAAUUCUCAACCUGAGAGGUUGUCCCAAAAGGAAUUUUAUGGAUAUAGCCUGUUAAUCAGCAUUGUUACUGCAUAUUUCUUUAUGCUGGUAAUCUAAUUGCAUGACUUUACCAUCAGUAUAUCCAGUCUCAAGAACAAAACACAUCGGUUUGUGAUUUUAAUUUUAGGUGCUGUUGUACAAAUAAAACAUGACUAACUUAGAAAUGAUUGAAAGAAAAACAGAGAGGCUUUCGUUUGUUC